GGUGAACGCUGGCGGCGUGCUUAAGACAUGCAAGUCGAACGGCAGUCUUCGGACUGUAGUGGCGCACGGGUGAGUAACGCGUAACUGACCUACCCCAAAGUCGCGGAUAACGAUUCGAAAGAAUCGCUAAUACGUGAUGUGCUGUCAGAUUGUGUUCUGCCAGUAAAGAUUGAUUGCUUUGGGAUGGGGUUGCGUUCCAUCAGCUAGUUGGUGGGGUAAAGGCCCACCAAGGCGACGACGGAUAGCCGGCCUGAGAGGGUGGCCGGCCACAGGGGCACUGAGACACGGGUCCCACUCCUACGGGAGGCAGCAGUUAGGAAUCUUCCACAAUGGGCGAAAGCCUGAUGGAGCGACGCCGCGUGAGGGAUGAAGGUCUUCGGAUCGUAAACCUCUGAAUCAGGGACGAAAGACACUUCGGUGGGAUGACGGUACCUGAGUAAUAGCACCGGCUAACUCCGUGCCAGCCGCCGCGGUAAGAC
rnacentral:rRNA from 1 species